AGGAAUAUAGCUCAGGUGGUUAGAGCGUCAGAAUGUGGCUCUGGAGGUCGUGAGUUCGACUCUCAUUAUUCCUACCA
rnacentral:tRNA from 1 species